rnacentral:rRNA from 1 species
UAGGGAAUCUUCCACAAUGGGCGAGAGCCUGAUGGAGCAACGCCGCGUGUGUGAUGAAGGGUUUCGGCUCGUAAAACACUGUUGUAAGAGAAGAAUGACAUUGAGAGUAACUGUUCAAUGUGUGACGGUAUCUUACCAGAAAGGAACGGCUAAAUACGCGCCAG